GAUGAACGCUAGCGGCAGGCUUAACACAUGCAAGUCGAGGGGUAUUGGUUUUCGGACCAAGAGACCGGCGCACGGGUGCGUAACGCGUAUGCAAUCUACCUUUUGCAGAGGGAUAGCCCCAGAGAAAUUUGGAUUAAUACCUCAUAGUAUAGUACUUUGGCAUCAAGGAACUAUUAAAGUCACAACGGCAAAAGAUGAGCAUGCGUCCCAUUAGCUAGUUGGUAAGGUAACGGCUUACCAAGGCUACGAUGGGUAGGGGUCCUGAGAGGGAGAUCCCCCACACUGGUACUGAGACACGGACCAGACUCCUACGGGAGGCAGCAGUGAGGAAUAUUGGACAAUGGGCGCAAGCCUGAUCCAGCCAUGCCGCGUGCAGGAUGACGGUCCUAUGGAUUGUAAACUAGCUUUUAUACAGGAAGAAACCCUCCCACGUGUGGGAGCUUGACGGUACUGUAGGAAUAAGGAUCGGCUAACUCCGUGCCAGCAGCCGCGGUAAAGUG
rnacentral:rRNA from 1 species